rnacentral:rRNA from 1 species
UGGCGAACGGGUGAGUAACACGUGAGUAACCUGCCCUUGACUUUGGGAUAACUUCAGGAAACUGGGGCUAAUACCGGAUAGGAGCUCCUGCUGCAUGGUGGGGUUGGAAAGUUUCGGCGGUUGGGGAUGGACUCGCGGCUUAUCAGCUUGUUGGUGGGGUAGUGGCUUACCAAGGCUUUGACGGGUAGCCGGCCUGAGAGGGUGACCGGCCACAUUGGGACUGAGAUACGGCCCAG